rnacentral:snoRNA from 1 species
CGCCUCGUUAUUCAGCAAAUAGACACAACCCACCAUGUGUCCGAAUUGGAAAACGUGGCUAGAGAACUUACAGGUUGUGCUUUCCUCGCUGCAGAGUUAAUUGCAGUGGUGACAAUGAGACCUGUAACAGGU